UACGUAGGGGGCUAGCGUUGUCCGGAAUCAUUGGGCGUAAAGCGCGUGUAGGCGGUUCGGUAAGUCCGCUGUGAAAGUCGGGGGCUCAACCCUCGAAUGCCGGUGGAUACUGUCGGACUAGAGUACGGAAGAGGCGAGUGGAAUUCCUGGUGUAGCGGUGAAAUGCGCAGAUAUCGGGAAGAACACCCGUGGCGAAGGCGGCUCUCUGGAACGCAACUGACGCUGAGACGCGAAAGCGUGGGGAGCAAACAGG
rnacentral:rRNA from 1 species